GAUGAACGCUGGCGGCGUGCUUAACACAUGCAAGUCGAACGGGAAACCUUUUAUUGAAGCUUCGGCAGAUUUUGCUGGUUUCUAGUGGCGGCCGGGUGAGUAACGCGUGGGUAACCUGCCCUAUACAGGGGGAUAACAACCAGAAAUGGUUGCUAAUACCGCAUAAGGGUACAGGGCCGCUGGGUCCGGUGGGUAAAACUCCGGUGGCAUAGGAUGGACCCGCGCUGGAUUAGCCAGUUGGGAGGGUAACGGCCUACCAAAGCGACGAUCCAUAGCCGGCCUGAGAGGGUGAACGGCCACAUUGGGACUGAGACACGGCCCAGACUCCUACGGGAGGCAGCAGUGGGGAAUAUUGCACAAUGGGGGAAACCCUGAUGCAGCGACGCCGCGUGAAGGAAGAAGUAUCUCGGGAUGUAAACUUCUAUCAGCAGGGAAGAUAGUGACGGUACCUGGCGAAGAAGCCCCGGCUAACUACGUG
rnacentral:rRNA from 1 species